UCUUCACCAUUUUUGAAACUGACAGUGGUGGGUUUAGUUCAACGAGGCAAAUACAGGUGAGGAGGUAGCGUGAGAAGAAUUCUAAGGAUGCUAGUACGUAAUAACAUGGUUUAUGAGAACAAUUAUAAGUCAAACAGACUUAAGCGUGAUCACACUUGAAAAACGAACAGAGUUGUUCGCUCUACUUUAUUUUUUGAUCUUGACGUCGCUGAGGAUUCACUGUCCUAUGCUGGCGAAAUUUUGUUUUUCCCGUACCUUUUAUUUAUUUCAUUACCUUUUGAUGUGAUCGCUCUUCUGACCAGCGUUGCCAGGUAACCAGAUUUAGCUGGAUUAUCCAGAUUUUUGAACAUGUAUCCAGGUAGACAGCUUUGAUGUCCAAUUAUCCAGAUUUUUCAUGGAUGAUCCAGAUUUUAUCCAGAUUUUAUUUUCUCUGUUCCGCAAAAAGGUCAUCACUUCAAUUUUGGCGCGAAAUUUUGCAAUUUUGUCACCUCAAAUUUUGCGUACCUCAAGACUUUUAUCCGAAAAAUUAACCUUUCACACCACGAAAUGACCGCCAGAUUUUUUCCAGAUUUUUAUUUUGCCUUUUCCAGAUUUAAAAAAAAAUGACCUGGCAACGCUGCUUCUGACAGCUGAUUUGGAUAUCAAAUCUCGACCAACUUCAGAAAAAAUAAAAACGAAAUUCUCUUAAGAAACCUGUGUAACCUUGAAAAGAACGCCUCGAGGCUGCGUUUAAUUCAACCGGCGGACUGAACCGCAAGAAUAUUCAGUCAAAAACACUAAUUAUGAAAUUAUACGUCUUGUAGGAACUGUAUGAAAAGCGGCGCUCGUUUGCAUGUUUUGUGCACAGAUCAAAGUGUAAGUGAAAAACUAUCGACUGCUAGCCACUUUUUUCCAAAGCAAAACAACAUCGGAAGUGACAGAAUUCUUCUUAAUAAACAUGUCGAAAAGAAGAAUAAAAAAAUGUUGCGUGUUCAAUUGUAACUCAACAAGUGAUAAUUCUGACAUUAAAUUUAUUUCGGUUCCGUCGGAUACUUCAAAACGAGAAAUAUCAGAAAUAUGGAUUAAACUUAUGCAACCCACUAAAAUAAUCAAGCAAAUGUUUGCUGCCAAAAGCAUUUUAUUGUAAGCGAAGUACAUAUAUCUUUUCGUUCAAAGAGUUUUA